rnacentral:rRNA from 1 species
UACGAAGGGGGCUAGCGUUGCUCGGAAUCACUGGGCGUAAAGGGUGCGUAGGCGGGUCUUUAAGUCAGGGGUGAAAUCCUGGAGCUCAACUCCAGAACUGCCUUUGAUACUGAAGAUCUUGAGUUCGGGAGAGGUGAGUGGUAACUGCGAGUGUAGAGGUGAAAUUCGUAGAUAUUCGCAAGAACACCAGUGGCGAAGGCGGCUCACUGGCCCGGUACUGACGCUGAGGUGCGAAAGCGUGGGGAGCA